rnacentral:lncRNA from 1 species
UAUACAGGAAGUGAGUUCUUAUGAAACAUAGACUGUUGACAGGAGAACAGUGAUAGAAAAAACCAGUAAGACAAAUAUUCAAGAUUUGGAAAUGUAGAUGAAGAAGGAAAAUCAAUUGGGAACGGCUACAUCCAUAAUGAAGUACUUUUUUUUUCUCCUUAGCAGAGGGAUCUUCCAAAUUCAAUGAGGGAAGCAGACUUCAUGCAGCCAGAAGGAUUUGGAUUAGACAGUAAAGGACUUCCUGCCUGUUAAAUGAUCAGAGGAAGUGGACUGCAAACUUUUAAAGUAAGGCAUCCCUCCCAGAAAGAAGAAAAUUGUUUUAUGCCAACAUCAUGGUUACUCUGGGAUUGACUGAAUGUCCUGAUGGAUGUGAAGAGCCCUUUGCAGACUGGGAGGCACCAAUUUCCACUGUCUGAUUAAAAAAUUGUUUUGCAGAAACUUUUUGUAUAGGUCAUGAUCACUUUUAGUUAUAAAUAACAAUGUACCUGAUCCUUAAUCUAAUGAUGUUUAAGCAAUAAGAUGUUUGGUUGUCUAACUUCCUAAACAGAAAGAGAUUUGGAGGUAGUUGGUCCAGGGUUCACAUAUGUCAUGAGUGACCUAGACUCUUCUUUUUUGCAACCUCUCCUUCCUGCAACCCCACAGUGCUGUCUUGCUGCCUGAUGGACAUAGGAUGCUUGCUACAGUUCCAGGCAUCACCUAUCUGCCCAAAGCAGGAAAAGGGAUAAGGUGGCACUAACCAUACUCUUCCUUUUUGCUAAGAAAGCACAGUGUUCACAAUGUUCCUGGAAGUUCCCAGCAAACAUCUCCUACUAGCUUACUGACAGAACUGCUUGUAUCCACAACCAUACAUGGCUACCAGGGAGCUGGAGAUCAGGACUGCCAUGAUUAUAUUGUCCAAGUGAUUCUCUAAGAGAGCCCUUCAGACCAAUAGCAUCAUCAUGACUUGGGAGCCUGAUAGGCAUGCAAAUUCUUAGGCCCCACCCCAGACAAUGGCAACCCACUCCAGUACUCUUGCCUGGAAAAUCCCGUGGAUG